GCCGCCGCGGAUAUACGUAGGAUGCAAGCGUUAUCCGGAAUUAUUGGGCGUAAAGCGUUCGUAGGCUGUUAUUAAGUUGGGGGUGAAAUCUCCGGGCUCAACCCGGAGCUCGUUCUCAAAACUGGUAGACUUGAGUAAGGUAGAGGCUGACGGAAUUCUGCAAGUAGGGGUAAAAUCCGUUGAUCUGCAGAGGAACACCAAAAGCGAAGGCAGUCAGCUGGGCCUUUACUGACGCUGAGGGACGAAAGCGUGGGUAGCGAACGGGAUUAGAUACCCCGGUAGUCCACGCCGUAAAUGAUGGAUACUGGACAUUGGUACUCGAUCGUAUCAGUGUCUCAAGCUAACGCAUUAAGUAUCCCGCCUGGGGAGUACGGUCGCAAGAUUAAAACUCAAAGGAAUAGACGGGGACCCACACAAGCGGUGGAGCAUGUGGUUUAAUUCGACAAUAAGCGAGGAACCUUACCAGGGCUUGACAUCCCGAGAAUUCUUUAGAAAUAGAGAAGUGCCUUUAUGGAACUCGGUGACAGGUGCUGCAUGGUUGUCAGCAGCUCGUGC
rnacentral:rRNA from 1 species